rnacentral:misc_RNA from 1 species
GAUGAAGAACGUAGCGAAAUGCGAUAAGUAAUGUGAAUUGCAGAAUUCAGUGAAUCAUCGAAUCUUUGAACGCACAUUGCGCCCGCCAGAAUACUGGCGGGCAUGCCUGUUCGAGCGUCAUUACAACCCUCAGGCCCCCGGGCCUGGCGUUGGGGAUCGGCGGAAGCCCCCUGCGGGCACAACGCCGUCCCCCAAAUACAGUGGCGGUCCCGCCGCAGCUUCCAUUGCGUAGUAGCUAACACCUCGCAACUGGAGAGCGGCGCGGCCACGCCGUAAAACACCCAACUUCUGAAUGUUGACCUCGAAUCAGGUAGGAAUACCCGCUGAACUUAAGCAUAUCAAUAAGCGGAGGA